GGCCUGGUGGUGUAAUGGUUAACACAGCUGCUUGAAUUGAUCUGCUACAUCUUUUAUAUAGCGGGAGACUCCUUGUUCGAAUCAAGGCCGGGCCA